GGAACCUCCAUGAAGGUAUCCUUCCCCUACCAGGAUUUCCGUAAAUACCUGCAGAAGAGCAGCUCAGUGCCCAAAGUCCUGCAGUUUUCCACAAGACCUAUUUGAGCUGCAGAUGGACCUGUUGGGAGAGACCCUUUCAAGACAGCUCAAGCCUCAUGACCUUCUGCAGCAUCCGCUCUGGUCCAUGCUAGAGUCCAAUGGAUACACCCACCUCAAGACCAGAUUGUCGUAGUGUUGCAAGGGGACUCUAUCCUGGAAUGCUCUUUGGGCACACUGGGAGAUUGCAUUUCCCAAAUUCCAUUGUACUUAGGCUGGGGCCAGAUGACUGGGCUUUCGCCAGUGGAAUGUGGCCGAAGAGAUGCAAGCUGCUUCUGGGCCUGGCAUGAAAGCCUGAACAUGCUCCCUCUUCCCCUUCUGUGACAACAUGGAAAUUCACGUGUUUAAGAUGGUGGCAGCGUAUGAUGGAAGGAGCUUAGAUUCCUGAGUCACCUCCUGGAAGAGAGCCACCAAGCCACGUUCCAUGUGAUUUGAGGAGUUCUAUGUCCUCCCCUACUGCUGAUUGCUGAAGACAGACCCCCCAGCAAGAGCAUUUGACCAAAUCUUGGUGACCCAGAGAAACACGUGUAUCCACCAGGCAUUGAGUCACAUCAAUGAGAUGACACUCAGCCGGGCUCAAUUCCCCAACCUGGUUUUCUUUACAGUUCACUUUCUCCCUGGGGAAGCACUGAGGACCACAAGAGGCUGGUAACGGAGAUGACGUUAAUUAUAAACGGUGCAGUGUCCCGGUGAACAUAAACCACUGGCUCAUUCACAGUUAUUUCUGAGAAAAUAAUUAUUUUGCUUUUGCUGUAGUCGUUCUUUCACUGAAAUCUAAUGAGAUGAUAAUGGGUGUGACAGUGUUUGUUAAAGUGCAGAGUUCCAUUAAAAUGUGGGGAAAUGAUAUUAUUGCUGUGAGAGGAAAUGGCUGUUUUCUUUUGGCAAGGCUUUGGACAUCAAAGUGUUUGUUGGCUGUGAAAGUGAAAAGGGCUUUGUGUGCACCCUGGGGAACAGAUUCUGCCCCAGUUACUAAAGAAUCCUUUUAAGGGUGGAAGCCAGGACAGUCAGGCAGCGCUUCUCUUGGUCUCCAGAUGGGGGUGCCCCUAAGCCAGACACAGAUUCCUCCCAGCUUCUCCCUGGACAGUUUCCCUGGAGCCAAGGAAGUGUCUGCCUACUGCAACUCGCCCCAAAUAGCUUUAUCAAGUAUUGCAGGACACUGGGAAGAUGAGAUGGGGUAACACUGAUGCUAUAUAUGUCUUAUAUAUAUGUGCUUCCUAGCUCAUGAGGUGCUCACAUAGUCUAGUGGCCUUUGAUGCUAUUUUCCUGUACAGUGUGAGAAAUAUAAAGUCUUAGAAAGGAAGAAGGUCAUCAAGAAAGAAAGAAAAAAUGAGACAAAAUGCCCUGCCAUUAAGUGGAUUACCAGUUUCUUUUGUGAAGUAUGGUUUUAGUAAUGAGAACAUUAUUUAGAUAAAAGCAAGCAUUUAGAAAAAGUCCAAAACCAUAAAAACAAAAACUCUCUUCAAAUUGCAAUGCCCUUCAUUUUCCACAGAAGCUAUGUAUUUCAAAACAUGCCUGCUAUGAAAAUUCUGCCAAAUAAGAAUUAGGAAGUGAUUAAAGUCUAUGGCUUACAACUUUUUACGUACAGCCUGAAUUCUCUACUCUGCUGCCUCUCCAACCACUUGCUGAAACUUUCUGAACCUCUAUCAUAUUAAGAUGGGUCUGAAUAUCCACAUGAUUAACUGGGAGGCCGGGAGGGAGGGGAACUAGAUAGUACA